UACAGAGGUGGCAAGCGUUGUUCGGAAUUACUGGGCGUAAAGGGCGCGUAGGCGGCCAUCUAAGUCAGACGUGAAAUCCCCCGGCUUAACCUGGGAACUGCGUCUGAUACUGGAAGGCUUGAGUAUGGGAGAGGGAUGUAGAAUUCCAGGUGUAGCGGUGAAAUGCGUAGAUAUCUGGAGGAAUACCGGUGGCGAAGGCGGCAUCCUGGACCAUUACUGACGCUGAGGUGCGAAAGCGUGGGGAGCAAACAGG
rnacentral:rRNA from 1 species